GAGUGCAUCUAUUAGAUUAAAACCAAUCAAGCCUUCAUUGGGCUUGUUCAUUGGUGACUCUGAAUAGCUUAGCUGAUCGCAUGGUCUUGUACCGGCGACGUGUCUAUCAAGUGUCUGCCUUAUCAACUUUCGAUGGUAGUUUAAAUGCCUACCAUGGUUGUUACGGGUAACGGAGAAUAAGGGUUCGACUCCGGAGAGGGAGCCUUAGAAACGGCUACCACAUCCAAGGAAGGCAGCAGGCGCGCAAAUUACCCACUCUCAGCAUGAGGAGGUAGUGACGAAAAAUAACAAGACCGUUCUCUUAGAGGCCGGUUAUUGGAAUGAGUACAAUUUAAAUCCGUUAACGAGGAUCUAUGAGAGGGCAAGUCUGGUGCCAGCAGCCGCGGUAAUUCCAGCUCUCAAAGUGUAUAUCGUCAUUGCUGCGGUUAAAAAGCUCGUAGUUGUAUAUGCGCUACAGGAUCCGGUCCGCUUUUUUGGGCGAGAACUGGACUCUUGGGCUAGUACUGUUGGUUUUCCCUACGUUGCCUUCAUCGGUCGCGUAGGGUGGCUAGCGAGUUUACUUUGAAAAAAUUAGAGUGCUUAACGCGGGCUAUUGCCUGAAUAUUCGUGCAUGGAAUAAUAGAAUAGGAUCUCGGUUC
rnacentral:rRNA from 1 species